UGUUUGUGUACUGUUUUGCUCUGUUGUGACUUAUUUAACAUCUCUUCCAGUUUCACAGGUUAAAGACUUUUUGAAGUAAAGAGGAGCAUCUCAUCUGAACCUGAUGUCUAUCAUGGAUAUUUAACUGCAGUUCUGUGAGUAUCCCAACUUAACCAUGAAGCAUAACUGCAAACCGUAAGUCAUUAAUUUCUCAUUACUCUUGGGCACAUUGAUGUAUUUUGGCUUCCUGGUGAGUUAACCCGUUAACUGACGGUUGUUCUGAGUAGUGAGGAUGUUUUAUUGGUUCAUGGGUUACUUAGGUGUUUGGUUUAUGUUGGUUUUAAUGAUUUGUUAAAAUGGUUACAGGCUCCAAGUUAUUGUUGUAAGCUGGAGUAAUGGGUUGGGUUCUGAUGUCUUCAGUCUUCUUUCACUUUACUGUCCUGAGCUCUGCAUCGUCAUCACAUGAGUGUUGCUCUACUGACGAGGCUGUGGUCUGAGUGAGCAGAGGUGCAUACUGGGAUACAGAGCUGUCUAAAGUCUACAGGUCUGUAGACACGCCCCCUCAGGGGAAACCGAGUGUUUGAGAAACUGUCGUGUCGUCAGUUACAUGGACUGGAAUGUUCUUAAAGAUGGAGACAGGGAUUCAGAAGGAGAAACACCAGGGGGAGAUGAGGGGGCUCCUCAUCUCAACGACUAAAACACAACUUCAGUCUGACACAGAGAACCAUGGAACGCAUUCAACAGUCCCCUCCAGGCACCGUGACUACUCAGGAACAGUUUCAUUUCCAAGAAGGUCUUAUUUGGGGCCAUCCCCAUAUGGAUCCUGCUCCUCAAGAGCCACCCCCCUCCACUGGGUGGUCUUCUGAACAGAUGAUCUCCUUCCUGUCCUCAGGCUGACUAAAGCUGCACCGUUUACAUCUGUGAAGGCCCCUCAAUCACUAAACCACUGGACUACAAACACAUGACUUCAGAGAUGUUGAAUCAACCUGGAACACAUUUUGGAGACGCCAAGCAUAAUCCAUCACCAAUGUGGGACGCCACUGAAGAAUGUUGUACAUAAUUCACGUCUCUGGAGACAUUGGUUGUUCAGUUAUGGGUGCCCUGGCAGGAGAGCUGGGGGCGGGGGGGUGUUGGAAGGUUAUUUGCUAUGAGGUUUUUACCCUGCAUGAUUGUUUGGCCUUUUAUGGCUCAGUGGUGUGUGUGUGUGUGUGUGUGUGUGUGUUUGGGUUUGACAUGAGAUGGAAGAUUUUUGAGUAUCGCUAGGGUUCUACUGUGUGUGUGCGUGCGUGUGUCUCCCACUCACACCUGGCAUGGGGUUCUACGUGCCUGUCCUGGGUUCUAUGUGUGUGUGUCCGGCUUACUUUGACACUGAUAAUGUUCAUACGGGGGUCUGUGUGAUUGGCUUGGGAUAUUGGAAUGGUCAACUAAGUCAUACCUGAUGGACGGCCACACGUUUACUUGAGGCCUCCAGGAGACAUGAUGAGCCCUGAACGACGCUCCGGAGCGAGAUCCAACACACUGGGCAGGAAGGAGAGUAUCCAACACACUGGGCAGGAAGGAGAGUAUCCAAAUCAAGUGUAAAAGGAUGCAAGCGGCGUGUUCAGAUCAGCGACUUCAAACUAGGACUACACCAAUCAGGAUCAAUGGAGGAUGGACACCUAAAGGCAUUCCACAAGGACUCUGAAGUUGGAAAGGAACCUCAAUGGAUGUUCAAGAUGACCUUCAGACCUGUAAUGAGACGGCUCUUCCUACCUGGCUGGAUUGAUGGAGAGCCCUGUGGAUCUUGUCUUGCUCUCAGUUGCACGUCUUCUCAGGCUGAACUGUAAUUGUUUCGGACAGGACUAGCUGAAUGAUUGGUUCCCUUAAAUCAGAACCAAUCCGGGAACUCCAGCUAGUGCGCUCUUCGAGCUGAAGUUGUGCUCUUCAGCUGAGGUGGUAAGGAAACCUUCACUGGGGCUUCAAGGUGUAAAGGGGAGAAUGUUUCAAAGUGUUCCAUGGUGCUCUGAUGAAGACCGUUGUUGUGUUCCACUGGCUGAGGGGAAGAACCCACACAUCUUCCUCCUGGCCUUUCUCCUCUGAGAAUCCUGGCGCCAUCUUGAAGGAUAUUCCAGCUCAUGUAACUGAUGUCACGACAGAUUCUCAAACACUUGGUUUCUCCUGAGGGGCGUGUCUAUGGAACUGAAGACUUCAGACAGCACUGUAUCCCAGCAUGCAUCUCUGCUCACUCAGACCACACCCCCAUGAGUAGGAUGCAACACUCUAGUGAUGGAGAUGUAGAGUUUUAUAAGUAACGAGGGAGCAGACUAAGGUGAUUAGAACAAGAUGGAAUGUAAAGUCUGUAAAUCUUUAAGCCAUGAAGAUGGUUGGAUAGUUCAGGAAUUGGGCUUUUAUUAUGGGCAGUCCUUUCACUCAGAUGCCCACUUCUCACUGGAGCUGUACAUGGUUUGGCUGGCUGGCAUGAUUUGCUGUUGGUGAUGAGGCGGUCAGGGUGACGUUGCAGGGCUAUGGUCGGCUCUCUGUGAGCUCAACGUUUAGAUUUGCUCUGUAUGCUUUGUACCCUGAAUAAUCUAGAUAAUUGUAAAAUGUAGACACGGUUUUGUAUUGAAUGAUUCCCGGAUUUUAGGUUUAAAGUUGUUGUGGGACGUACAUGGUAGUUUGGUUCUUCGUAUGGUUUUGAGUGAUAACUUGUACACACUGGGUGCAUAAUAAUGUAAAGGUACACUGAAUAGUAUUAAUGACCAACAGCAACAAACAGAUCUCCUCAAGGUAAGUCUGUUGGCUGUGUUUUAAUGAAGACCAUCGCUGGACUUCAGGAUCUUCCUCCGUUCAGCUCAAGGUGAGGUGCUGGUUCUGUUUUCUUUGGUUGGUUCCGGCCGGAAUGUUCGGAUUCCAGUCGGACGGUUUGUGCUUCCCGCCGUGGAAGGUUCUGAGUGCGGUCACUUGAUUUAGUCCCAAUGGUUAGCAUAGAACGUUGUAACGCUCCUUAAACAACUAAAGUACUAAAAUAUGUUGAUAAUUUCCGAUGGUUGCGCCGUACUUUUAACCACGAUGACGUUGCGGGACUCUCACUGCGUACAAAACAGCGUUCUACUUGCGGGCCCAUUUUUGACAUCAGGGAUGGCUGAAAAUCAUUUCAAGGUGGAAGAUAAUUUGACAUUUCUUCAACGGAACCCAGCACCUGAAUAUGGCUGAGUAUAUUUGAUUUAAUAUCGAUACUGCUAGGUGUUCUUUGUUACUUCAGCUUUUGUACGUUCUAAAUAUCUGCUGUCAUUAAUUGCCACAGAAGUUAAACCCUACCCAAUGGAAUGACGUUAAACAUCGACUUUGGUGCCGAGUUACCAACUGGAUAAUAUCAAAGCUAAAUUAAUGGCCGUCAUUCCCACAUGUUACAGUAGAAGAUACUCUAGAACUGUACAAGGUUAAAAAGGUAACAUGUAGUUUGUCCCAAGGUGUCUACCUCCUCACCCAGUGCCAGACCUCCACCUCCUCACCCAGAGCCAGACCUCCACCUCCUCACCCAGAGCCAGACCUCCACCUCCUGUCAGAAGUCCUCCAGAACAGCUGAGAGGCGAGGCUGAGAGGCUGGGGACCGGAGGCUUGUGGUGCCAGGAUGGACCGGAGACUGAGGCUGGAGACCAGGGGCCUGCAGCACCGGACCAGAGGGUAACCAUCACCAAGCUCAUCUGAAACACUAAAAUCCACGACCAGGAAUCCAUGGCUGAAGGAGCUGAUGGAGGAGCUGUGCUGAAAGAGCUGAUGGAGGAGCCGUGCUGAAGGCCCUGGGCUGGUGGAGGAACUGAUGGAGGCCCUGCCUGGUGGAGGAUUCCUGUCGUUGGACCAGGACUCUGUCUGAGGAGUGCUGCUGGAGGAGCUGACACGCUGGAGGACGAUUAGGAAUCGCCCAACAAGGAUUCCUCAACGUGUUUCUGGAGCGGAGGCGAGCUGGUAGGGGAGCCGUGAAUCUGGAGGAUGACCAUCACUCUACCAACAAGGAUUACCAGGACUCUGGCUGAGGAGAGCUGAUGGAGGAGCCAAGACUCUGGGGGACGACAUCACUCCACCAACCAGGAUCCUCAGACCAAUUACGUUUGUAACCAGACCAGGAAUCUGGAGGACUGAUGGAGAAGCCGUACAUCUGGAAGGCAAAUCCUGAGGACCACCAGGACUCUACCAUCAAGGAUUCCUCAUACACCUGAGCUGAACCUCACCUGAUCCUGUUUGGUCGGGGGCAGACACACCUGAGCUAAACCCGCCCUGAUCAUGACAUCCUGCUGGUCCCGUCUCCUCAGUUCAUCUGAGCCUCGUCCUCCAGAAGACCUGCUGAGCUCAGCAGUCUGAGGCUGAUGGAUCAAUGACCUCCAGUGGGAGUGAUCUUCUUGACCCCACAUGUAACCGUGUGCUUCCACACGCCUUUCCCUCUCAUCUGUCACUAACUUCACUACUCUCUACUGCUUCCUCUUUUCUUCCUUCUCUGUGGUUCGAACCUUUACACUGAAGGCGCGUCUUCCUGCCCUCAGAGGGUUUAGCGUUAGGGUUGAGAGUCAGGGUUUAGAGUCAGGGACAGAGCUGGUCAGGGAGGACUGCUUUUACACAAACCUCUUCACUUGCUUUCGGAAUGGUGGUGACAUUUCGAAAAUAUUCAUUUGGGAAAAUGUUUUCCUCUGCUUUCCUUUAAAAUUGUAUUAAACUUCUGUCAAGUGUUUUUGUUUAUAUAUUAAAAUCCCACAUUGACUUCUACAUGUUUGUUGCGGUUCAUUUAAUUGUCCUUUAACUUGGUUAAUGU